UACAGAGACUGCAAGCGUUAUUCGGAUUCACUGGGCGUAAAGGGUGCGCAGGCGGCCAAGUGUGUCAAGGUGUGAAAUCCCGAGCUUAACCUCGGAACUGCGCCUGAAACUACUUGGCUAGAGUACUGGAGAGGGUAACGGAAUUCACGGUGUAGCAGUGAAAUGCGUAGAUAUCGUGAGGAACACCAGAGGCGAAGGCGGUUACCUGGACAGUUACUGACGCUCAGGCACGAAAGCGUGGGGAGCAAAAGGG
rnacentral:rRNA from 1 species